rnacentral:tRNA from 1 species
ACCUUCGUGGUGUAGCGAUCAACACGCUCGACGCGUAUUCGAGAGGUCCGUGGUUCGAAUCACAGCGAGGGCA